rnacentral:tRNA from 1 species
UGGGGCCGUAGCUCAGAUGGGAGAGCGCUGCAAUCGCACUGCAGAGGUCAGGGGUUCGAUUCCCCUCGCUCCACC